rnacentral:rRNA from 1 species
GAUGAACGCUGACAGAAUGCUUAACACAUGCAAGUCUACUUGAUCCUUCGGGUGAUGGUGGCGGACGGGUGAGUAACGCGUAAAGAACUUGCCCUGCAGUCUGGGACAACAUUUGGAAACGAAUGCUAAUACCGGAUAUUAUGUGAGUUUCGCAUGAAAUUCAUAUGAAAGCUAUAUGCACUGCAGGAGAGCUUUGCGUCCUAUUAGCUAGUUGGUGAGGUAAUGGCUCACCAAGGCGAUGGAUAGGGGUUCUGAGAGGAAGGUCCCC